rnacentral:rRNA from 1 species
AGAGUUUGAUCCUGGCUCAGAUUGAACGCUGGCGGAAUGCUUUACACAUGCAAGUCGAACGGCAGCACGGGAGCUUGCUCCUGGUGGCGAGUGGCGAACGGGUGAGUAAUGCGUCGGGACGUACCGAGUAAUGGGGGAUAACGCAGCGAAAGUUGUGCUAAUACCGCAUACGCCCUGAGGGGGAAAGUGGGGGAUCGUAAGACCUCACGUUAUUCGAGCGGCCGACGUCUGAUUAGCUAGUUGGUGGGGUAAUGGCUCACCAAGGCGACGAUCAGUAGCGGGUCUGAGAGGAUGAUCCGCCACACUGGGACUGAGACACGGCCCAGACUCCUACGGGAGGCAGCAGUGGGGAAUUUUGGACAAUGGGGGCAACCCUGAUCCAGCCAUUCCGCGUGAGUGAAGAAGGCCUUCGGGUUGUAAAGCUCUUUCAGCUGGAACGAAACGGUACGCUCUAACAUAGCGUGCUAAUGACGGUACCAGCAGAAGAAGCACCGGCUAACUACGUGCCAGCAGCCGCGGUAAUACGUAGGGUGCGAGCGUUAAUCGGAAUUACUGGGCGUAAAGCGUGCGCAGGCGGAUUGUUAAGCAAGAUGUGAAAUCCCCGGGCUUAACCUGGGAAUGGCAUUUUGAACUGGCAGUCUAGAGUGCGUCAGAGGGGGGUGGAAUUCCACGUGUAGCAGUGAAAUGCGUAGAGAUGUGGAGGAACACCGAUGGCGAAGGCAGCCCCCCUGGGAUAACACUGACGCUCAUGUACGAAAGCGUGGGUAGCAAACAGGAUUAGAUACCCUGGUAGUCCACGC